UACAGAGGUCUCAAGCGUUGUUCGGAUUCAUUGGGCGUAAAGGGUGCGUAGGUGGCGCCGUAAGUCAGGUGUGAAAUUUCGGAGCUUAACUCCGAAACUGCAUUUGAUACUGCGGUGCUUGAGGACUGGAGAGGAGACUGGAAUUUACGGUGUAGCAGUGAAAUGCGUAGAUAUCGUAAGGAAGACCAGUGGCGAAGGCGGGUCUCUGGACAGUUCCUGACGCUGAGGCACGAAGGUCAGGGGAGCAAACGGG
rnacentral:rRNA from 1 species